UCCCUGGUAGUCGAGCGGUUAGGACGCCACACUUUCACUGCCAUGACCUGGGUUCAACCCCUGGCUGGGGAA
rnacentral:tRNA from 1 species